ACAGCCAUCAGUGUACCACCAGGAAUCUUAGCUUUGCUGUUUCUGAAUGCUUUUGGAAGAUGGUGAGAGAUACUGUGGAACAGCAGGCUGAUGCUUUCAAGGCUACCCGUUUAACCUAGAGACAGAGUGGAAGAACAAUUUCCCCAGGACCCGAGAACUUGACCGUGAUGAACUCUUUGAGAAAGCUCGAGGAGAAAUCCUAGAUGAAGUGGUGAACUUGUCCCAGGUUUCUCCCAAACAGUGGGAGGAUGCUCUGUCAAAAAAAGAUGUGGGACAAGAUGGUAACCCACAUAUUUGAAAACAUUUAUUUGCCAGCUGCACAAAACAGAAAAUUCUGGUACAUUUAACACAACAGCAGAUAUUAAGCUGAAACAGUGGGCUGAUGGUAUGCUUCCCAAGAAGUGUGUAGAAGUUGGUUGGGAAACACUGGAGGAUGAGUUCAGGAAGUUCAUGGAGAGAGCCAAAACUUCGAAGGA